UCAGAGAGUACAGCGUAAUUGAGUAUUGUCGAGCACGAGAGACGUUCUAGCGUUUGUUAUAGAGCGACUGUUGAGAUUAAGUGUAUUGGUAAAGUUGUAUUCGGAAAGAAUAAACCAGUAUUAUUUAAGAAAGGACUUGUGUCGCUAAAGUUUCGUUGGAACGAAUUUACGGAAAAUUAACUUACGACUGGAGAUGUAAGAUAUUUAGAAAAUUCAUUCACUUCUGAUGAAAAUAUAAAUGAAGACAUUACUAGAUUGUUUCUUGUCACACUAUGGCUCCAUUCCAGACUACAUUUACUUCAUCAGUUAGAAGUUUGUGAGUGAAAACAAUCAAUGAUAAUCAUUACUCAUUCAAAAUCUCUGAAAACGUUAGCAAUCCUUUUUUCACAAGAUGUACCUGGCAGUACAUUGCUUCCAAAUUUGCAGGUGGAGAACAAAAGUCAGCAUAUCUUACUACCUCUGGUAUUAUCAAAGAUGAAGUCAGGAAAUGACUAUGUGCUGUUAUUAGAUGAAAGCCUGAAUUCCCAUGUGCAGCCAAAACAACUGAACUUGAAUGUAUGCUUCUGGGAAGGAAGCUAUGUAUCUUCUUGGUUCUAUACAUCAGUUUUUUGGACACACAUCAGCUGGUGGUUUCAUGAAAAAAUGAGGGACUGUGUUGACAGUAUUGGACUCUCUGGCAUUCCUCAUCUUUUAGUUGAUGUUCCAAUGUAAACUGGAAAAUGUACAGCAAGGUUGCCUCAAAAAUAUGAGAGGAAACUAACCACAAACUUCUGAACAUAGGUAACUGUGACUUCAUAUAAUGCACAACACCUUUAGUUCUGGCAGAUAAAAUAUGCAUUGGGACAUAGAACAGACUUUGAGUGCACUAUAUUGGCUUUCAAGAACUCUCUAGCCAGGCAUGAAGACUUCACUAGCAUAAUUGGACCUGUUUUAAACACAGAAGGCUAGGAAAUUUGCAAGUCUUUGAGAGAGCUGUAGAGGUUUGGUCACACUUGUAGUAAUAUGUUCCUAGUAAAAUCACACAAAAAAAAUCUUUAAGUGUUUUUGAAACAAGUUGUAAAGGUCCCCUGUUUAUGGUGAAAGCUAACAUCUUGUCUAUCACCAGAGAUUUUUCACACCUUCUUGGAAAAUGCCAAACUGACAUACCAAUUUUUACAUUCAUGUCCAGUGAUCUUCAUAAAACAACAGUGAGCUUGAUGGAUUACUUUGUAGAGGAUUAUACAAUUUAAAUCAGCAGCUUCUGCUUUAGAGGUACUAAAGAUUAAUUUGAAUGGCUCAUCACACCAGAAAGAUAUCUCAAGAGUCAGCAUAAGUUUUUUGGCCAAGAACCAACUCAAGGACCUGAAUUCAGUCAAAAUAAAUUCAUACAAAGAGGUAUUUGCUGUCAAGGCAAACAGAAAAAAAUUUCUUGUGUGGGAAUUUACAAAGUUGCUCAAGAAAUUUCCUUUUCAUUAUGAUCUUAUUGGGAACCUAGCUUGGUUGUAACUCUACAUAAUCAUGAAUGAGCCAGAAUUUUGUUUUCAACAGCUGAAAUAACCAUUAUAUAUUUUGAACAAAUCCAAUGAAGUGAAAGAAAACAAGUGUGAUGAUGUUAUUGAAUAGUUCUAAGACUUUGACAGCUUUAGUGUUGCCAACAUAUACAUUUGGUUGUCCCAAGCAUCAGAAACAUCACAGUUUUAUACUUUUAUUUUUCAUUCAAGCAUGACCAUUGGUGAAGAGGUCAGGCCUAUGGGAUGUGAGUUAAACAUUUUACUGCUGUUUCAUGGGUAAGCCUCCAUUGAAAGAGUUUUCUUAACAACAAAGAGAUUAUUGUUGAGAAUAUGGCUGAGCAAACUGACUGUUCAGAGGGUGAUAGAUCAUUUGAAGAAUGUUAGUGAGUUGAUAAUGUUUCAGUUUCCAGUUUCUGCUAGUUAGAAGUAUUAGGCAUACCUAAAUGAGGAGAAACGAGAGAAAGAAGAACAGAAGAGAAGUGAGGAGAGGAAGGACAAAGUUGUUGCUCAGAAACAGAAACAAAGAAGAAUAGAAACAAAUGUAGCAGCACUUUUGAAAUCAGCAGAGUUUGUGGAGAAUGUGGAGACUACAGGACAGAUGUCGCAUUUCUAAAUCUAAUGCUCUAAGGAGGUCAGAAAAAGUAGCAAGUGGAACAUAAAUUACUUGAAGAAGAGUUGGACAGCAAACUACAGGAAAUAAAACUAAUGGCUACAAAGGAUUAAAGCAGCAUGCAUAGCAUUCAGAAAUAGUGUAUACAUAACCUAAAGAAAAUUGGUUUGUGCUUUUUAAAUACCUUAUUUAUAUAAUGUUUUCUUUUAUAAUACCUCAUAAAAUCAUUACUUUUUGGACUGUUUGA